rnacentral:rRNA from 1 species
AUGAACGCUGACAGAAUGCUUAACACAUGCAAGUCGAUGGGGAAGUGGUGCUUGCACCCUGGCAACCAUGGCGGACGGGUGAGUAACGCGUAAGGGACUUACCUGCAGGACUGGGAUAACAGGGGGAAACUCCUGACAAGACCGGAUAAUGUCAUGGAGCUGCAUGGCUUUAUGAUGAAAGGAGACGCCUGCGGAGAGCCUUGCGUCCUAUUAGCUAGUUGGUGAGGUAAUGGCUCACCAAGGCGAAGAUAGGUAGCCGGCCUGAGAGGGUGGACGGCCACAAGGGGACUGAGAUACGGCCCUUACGCCUACGGGAGGCAGCAGUGGGGAAUAUUGGACAAUGGGGGCAACCCUGAUCCAGCAAUUCUGUGUGCACGAAGAAGGUUUUCGGAGUGUAAAGUGCUUUCAGCAGGGAAGAAGUAAGUGACGGUACCUGCAGAAGAAGCGACGGCUAAAUACGUG